UACGAAGGGUGCAAACGUUGCUCGGAAUUAUUGGGCGUAAAGCGCACGUAGGCGGCUUUGCAAGUCGGAUGUGAAAUCCCUCGGCUUAACCAAGGAAGUGCAUCCGAAACUGCAGAGCUUGAGUACUUAAGAGGAUCGCGGAAUUCCCGGUGUAGAGGUGAAAUUCGUAGAUAUCGGGAGGAACACCAGUGGCGAAGGCGGCGAUCUGGGAAGAUACUGACGCUGAGGAGCGAAAGCGUGGGGAGCAAACAGG
rnacentral:rRNA from 1 species